rnacentral:tRNA from 1 species
UUGCCUAUAGUUUAAUGGAUUAGAACACAAGUCUUCGAAACUUGGAAUAUCAGUUCGAUUCUGGUUGGGCAAA